rnacentral:lncRNA from 1 species
GGGUUGUAAAACUGGUAAGAGGUUUACUUACCUUAUAAAAAGAUUUCCAUGCAUCUCAAAAGGAAUAGAGAAAGAAUUCACAAUUACAAGUUUUCUAAAAAAAAAAAAUGCUCGAAGAAAAGUGAGGGGAGAAGAGUCUUUUCGCACCGGUGAAAAAUUAAACUUUAGUUCUUAUUUUUAAUUUACAUUUGCCCUUACACCCCUCGUUUCACAAAUAUUAUCAUAGUUAACAGUUAUUGAAUGUUUACUAUUUAAUCGAAGUGUUCUGCAAACAACUGCCACGAUUAAUCCUCUCUACAACCUAAAAGAGAGAUGCUGUUACUACCGUUCCCACUUAAUGGACAAGUACCUGGCCCAGAGAGGUUAAGUGACUUGCUCACAGAGUCACAUAGUAACUGGCCGACUUAGGAUUCCCGGACUUCCAAAACAGGCGAUCUUAGUCACCAGGCUACAAGGCUGCAUGAAACGACCCUGUGCCCCAUUGAUUCUGACAGGGUCUCAUCGCGGACCUUCUGGGAGGGAGGGCAGAAGGAGAAGACGAAGAAGGUUACGGAAAUUCCCCCUGAAAGCCCCGAAAUGACCGAAGCACGAGGCUAGGGACGUAGGGAUUAAGGUAGCAUGCACGUCCAAGAAAAAUUAGCACUUUCGAGUUUAUACAGCGCCGCACAACACUAACC